GACUCUAGAUGACAGACAGUGCAGAUUCAGUUAAAACAUAAAGUACCUGGCGGACUAUUUCCGGAGGUUACAGUUUUGUUAUUAAAAAAAAAAAAAUACACAAAUAAUGGGUCUGGAAGAGGAAGCAUAAUAAAUUUGAGGACUUAGAAGUGAUGCUAAAUUUGGACAUUUGAAGAAGGGGCACAGGAAAGCAAUUCAAAGGCACUUGAGUUAUCAACGUGCACAGAGGAAAUUAAGUAGGAGGCAUUUUGGAAAGGCACCCACUGAUAUCGACCUGGAUGGAAGCCCUUGAAGUUACAGUUCCUCCACAGCAUGGGCUUUGAACUCCUGCGCUUGGGUCUGGCUUCCACAAAGAUGAGCUCAGAAUGGAAAAAUUAAAAAAAAAAAAAAAAAAAAGUUGGAAGCCAUUGCCACUACAGUGCCAACCUGGCCAGCCACAAGACCAUAAUAUUUUUUAAACUCUGACGGCUAGGAAUGGACACAAAUUGCUCUUUUGUGGUUGCCAGCAGGUUUCUGAAUCAUCUUUGGGUUAGGGCUUCAGUAGACUUUUGAUUUUGCAAGGUCUAGUAAAGAACUUUUAUACACACAAGCAGGCAAGCUUUGGACAUGGCCUGUGAGUCUUUUCCUGGACCACGGUAAGGAACAGUCCUGACCAUUCUCACCAGACAAUGCUGAUAUUCCAGCUAAGCCCCAGAUGAUGGAUAAUCCUGCCUUCCAUGUAUGCUCCCUUUACAACGUCCACAGAAGAGCAGUGUUAUGUGCAUUAUCUCGUGUAGACAGGACAUCAGUGGGGUGUUGAGGACUGGCUCAAAGUGUGAGGACACAUUUUAAGGCAGCCCUCAACCAAGAAACUGCAGAAGAGGAACCCUCGUGACCCUUCCCAAUCACGCUGAUGGCUUCAAGUUGGACAGGGCUAUCCUGGGCCCCAGGAGCCAACCUUCAAUCCAAAAGCCACUCUACACCAUCUAAGUGAAUCAGCCAAUCUCAACAACAUGGACAAGAGGCCAGAUCUGUCGAGAACUCUGUCAUCUGUAUGAAAACAUCCCAGGGCUACACAAAGCCACUUAUCUGAGCCCUUCACUCAGGAUGGAAAGAAAGGCAGCUUGCAGAUCUGAUUUACCACACAAGGGGCUAGAAAGUCCUGAGUGAGUUGUGGAUGAGGUUGGCGGCCACACUGCCCACACAGAAUUCUAAAGGGGAUUCUCCUGCCUCCCACCGUGAGACUCAACUCUGAUCCAGCCCCUCAAAUUUGAGGGAGACCCCACGUAACCUACACGGUCCAUCUGCAGGGAUUCCAUAGCCCUGUCUUUACUUCAUUAGAAACUGACCGUUCUGCUUUUCAAUAGUUGCUACAAUUGGGGAAAGAAUAAAUUGAACACAUGAGCAUGUAUUAAAUAACCAUGUAUGCCCUGUACUGUAAGACUCUGUACAAGAAACAAAAGAAAUAGGAGACAAGGUACAAUCUCAGUACCUUGAUAUCCAAGUUGGAAGGUAUAGAUAUACUCAGCAGAAAACUAAAUGAAAAAAAAAAAAAAAACAAGCACCCGUUUGUGUGGUAGUCAUUAA